rnacentral:rRNA from 1 species
UACGUAGGGGGCAAGCGUUGUCCGGAUUUAUUGGGCGUAAAGAGCGUGUAGGCGGCUGGGUAGGUCCGUUGUGAAAACUCGAGGCUCAACCUCGAGACGCCGAUGGAAACCAUCCAGCUAGAGUCCGGAAGAGGAGAGUGGAAUUCCUGGUGUAGCGGUGAAAUGCGUAGAUAUCAGGAGGAACACCGGUGGUGUAGACGGCUUUCUGGACCGUAACUGACGCUGAGACACGAAAGCGUGGGUAGCAAACAGG